CCCUAGGCUCGCCCUGCAGGCAUGAGGAAGCCGGUGGGAAUCCGGCACAGUCGCGCUACUGUGACACCGCCUCCGCGAGGAGUGGUGAAGUCAGGAACGAGUGCCUGCACACCUCACAUCCA
rnacentral:ncRNA from 2 species